GACGCGAUAGCGCAGUGGUUAAACACGUUGUGUGUCUUGAGUGAGCCCCGGGUUCAAGUCCCGGGCGCGUCG
rnacentral:tRNA from 1 species